AACGAACGCUGGCGGCAGGCCUAACACAUGCAAGUCGAACGCUGAAGCUUGGUGCUUGCACUGGGUGGAUGAGUGGCGAACGGGUGAGUAAUACGUGAGUAACCUGCCCUUGACUCUGGGAUAAGCCUGGGAAACUGGGUCUAAUACUGGAUACGACAUGCCACUGCAUGGUGGUGUGUGGAAAGGGUUUUACUGGUUUUGGAUGGGCUCACGGCCUAUCAGCUUGUUGGUGGGGUAAUGGCCUACCAAGGCGACGACGGGUAGCCGGCCUGAGAGGGUGACCGGCCACACUGGGACUGAGACACGGCCCAGACUCCUACGGGAGGCAGCAGUGGGGAAUAUUGCACAAUGGGCGGAAGCCUGAUGCAGCGACGCCGCGUGAGGGAUGACGGCCUUCGGGUUGUAAACCUCUUUCAGCACGGAAGAAGCGAGAGUGACGGUACGUGCAGAAGAAGCGCCGGCUAACUACGUG
rnacentral:rRNA from 1 species